rnacentral:rRNA from 1 species
GAUGAACGCUGGCGGCGUGCCUAAUACAUGCAAGUCGAGCGAACAGACGAGGAGCUUGCUCCUCUGACGUUAGCGGCGGACGGGUGAGUAACACGUGGAUAACCUACCUAUAAGACUGGGAUAACUUCGGGAAACCGGAGCUAAUACCGGAUAAUAUAUUGAACCACAUGGUUCAAUAGUGAAAGACGGUUUUGCUGUCACUUAUAGAUGGAUCCGCGCCGCAUUAGCUAGUUGGUAAGGUAACGGCUUACCAAGGCAACGAUGCGUAGCCGACCUGAGAGGGUAUCGGCCGCACUGGAACUGAGACACGGUCCAGACUCCUACGGGAGGCAGCAGUAGGGAAUCUUCCGCAAUGGGCGAAAGCCUGACGGAGCAACGCCGCGUGAGUGAUGAAGGUCUUCGGAUCGUAAAACUCUGUUAUUAGGGAAGAACAAAUGUGUAAGUAACUAUGCACGUCUUGACGGUACCUAAUCAGAAAGCCACGGCUAACUACGUG